rnacentral:misc_RNA from 1 species
UCCGGUUUAUCACCGGCAGUCUCGCUAGAGUCCCCAACUGAAUGCUGGUAACUAGCGACAGGGGUUGCGCUCGUUGCCGGACUUAACCGAACACCUCACAGCACGAGCUGACGACAGCCAUGCAGCACCUUGCACCCUGUCUAUGUUUCCAUAGAAGGCCCCGUCUCCGGGGUUGUCAGGGGCAUUCUAGCCCAGGUAAGGUUCUUCGCGUUGCGUCGAAUUAAACCACAUGCUCCACCGCUUGUGCGGGUCCCCGUCAAUUCCUUUGAGUUUCAGUCUUGCGACCGUACUCCCCAGGCGGGAUGCUUAAUGCGUUAGCGCCGGCACCCGGGGACUUUCUCACCCCGGACACCAAGCAUCCAUCGUUUAAGGCCAGGACUAC